UACGUAGGUGGCAAGCGUUAUCCGGAUUUACUGGGUGUAAAGGGCGUGUAGGCGGGACUGCAAGUCAGAUGUGAAAACCACGGGCUCAACCUGUGGCCUGCAUUUGAAACUGUAGUUCUUGAGUACCGGAGAGGCAGACGGAAUUCCUAGUGUAGCGGUGAAAUGCGUAGAUAUUAGGAGGAACACCAGUGGCGAAGGCGGUCUGCUGGACAGCAACUGACGCUGAGGCGCGAAAGCGUGGGGAGCAAACAGG
rnacentral:rRNA from 1 species